GGCGAACUGGUGAGUAACACGUGGGCCAUUUGCCCUUGAAGUAGGGGAUAACACUUGGAAACAGGUGCUAAUACCGUAUAACAACCAAAACCACCUGGUUUUGGUUUAAAAGACGGCUUCGGCUGUCACUUUAGGAUGGACCCGCGGCGUAUUAGCUUGUUGGUAAGGUAACGGCCUACCAAGGCGAUGAUACGUAGCCGACCUGAGAGGGUAAUCGGCCACAUUGGGACUGAGACACGGCCCAAACUCCUACGGGAGGCAGCAGUAGGGAAUCUUCCACAAUGGACGAAAGUCUGAUGGAGCAACGCCGCGUGAGUGAUGAAGGGUUUCGGCUCGUAUAACUCUGUUGUUGGAGAAGAACAGGUGUCAGAGUAACUGUUGACAUCUUGACGGUAUCCAACCAGAAAGCCACGGCUAACUACGUGCCAGCAGCCGCGGUAAUACGUAGGUGGCAAGCGUUGUCCGGAUUUAUUGGGCGUAAAGCGAGCGCAGGCGGUUUUUUAGGUCUGAUGUGAAAGCCUUCGGCUUAACCGGAGAAGUGCAUCGGAAACCGGGAGACUUGAGUGUAGAAGAGGACAGUGGAACUCCAUGUGUAGCGGUGAAAUGCGUAGAUAUAUGGAAGAACACCAGUGGCGAAGGCGGCUGUCUGGUCUGUAACUGACGCUGAGGCUCGAAAGCAUGGGUAGCGAACAGGAUUAGAUACCCUGGUAGUCCAUG
rnacentral:rRNA from 1 species